UGAGAAUCAGUUCUCAAUUGAGAAGCAAGUCCUAAAGCUUGUCUAUUAAGCUCCACAUUUGCCUGUAAGGACAGUUCUUCUGGCUGUAUACGGACAGCCAGAUUUGCAUCUCCAAAUCCCCCAUGCUGCACACUCAGUGUGGAGCUUGAUUUCUCUGCAAUCAAGUGAGAAGCAGGCUGUGAGUCUGCAUGUUCUCCAGGACGUGCACUCAAUUUUGACUCCUUUGGCUGCUUUUUAUGCUUUUUCUCUUUCUUCCUUUUCUUCUUCUUUUUCUUCUUCUUCUUGCUUUUGUGCUUUUUGUUUUUCUUUGAUUUUUUUCUAGGAAUUUCAUCUUCACCUUCAGCAGUAGAGCUUCUUUUAGUAGACUGAGUACUAUUGCUCACAGUAGUUUUGUCUACAUCUGAUUUGCUCUGCAGUUCUGUAUCAAGGGCUCCAGAGAGCACUUCCUCUAUUUUCUGCACUAUCUGAUCAUUCUGACGACUCCCAGCACCAGCAACAGUGUCAUCUGAAGGGUUGGCUUGCUCAGCUGGGAUUGUGUCACCAUUGGGCUGGCCUUCUACCUUUCCACCGCCGUGCUGCUGCUGCUGCUGCUCUUCCUGAAUCUCCCGGAAUUUAUUAACCACGAAAGAGCGAAAGAUCUGCUCGAUAUUAGUCGCCAUGACAGCCUUAGCGCGCCGGCCCCCCCCCGC
rnacentral:lncRNA from 1 species